UACGUAGGGGGCAAGCGUUAUCCGGAUUUACUGGGUGUAAAGGGAGCGUAGACGGCAAUACAAGUCGGAAGUGAAAUACCCGGGCUCAACCUGGGAACUGCUUUGGAAACUGUAUGGCUGGAGUGCUGGAGAGGUAAGCGGAAUUCCUAGUGUAGCGGUGAAAUGCGUAGAUAUUAGGAGGAACACCAGUGGCGAAGGCGGCUUACUGGACGGUAACUGACGUUGAGGCUCGAAAGCGUGGGGAGCAAACAGG
rnacentral:rRNA from 1 species